AUUUUAUCUUCAUAGACUCAGUGGAUGACCAAUCUGAAUCAGAUGCGGAGCCAGGCGCAGAUUCACACACAGAUGUCGAUGAGAUAGAUGGGGAAGAAACAAUGACUCCAGAUUCAGAAGAGAUAAUGAAGUCUGGUGAGAUGGACUCGGUUGUCGAGGCAACUGAAGCUGACAUUCUGGACCAACCAGACCAACAGGAUGACAUGACACAGGGCGACUCGCAGGGUAAUGUCAUCAAAACACUGCAAUCCACCAAACCAUGUCAGCACUUUAAUAUAUAAUAAUAUAUGCCGUUUAGCAGACGCUUUUAUCCAAAGGGACUUAGUCAUGCGUGCAUCCAUUUUAUGUGCGCACAUUUUACAUUUCCAUUACAUACUUAUUUGACCCGUCUCUCACUCUGACAUACAUUUAUUGUACGGUAUGAUGCAGUCAGAUGCUGUUGUAUUCACUUCUAUGUACUGUAUAUCUCAUUUGAUUUACAGCCGCUGAUGCUGCUGCCACCGCCCUGGCAGCCCAGUCUUAGCCCUGUGGGUUGAGCCCACAGCACGUUGUGGAUGGAAUCAGACAUUUUGAUAGGUACCUAAGCCCAUUGAUUUGUACUUACUAAUGAGAGGAGAGGUAUCCUGUACAUUGAAAUAAUAUAUAAUCAUUUCACAUUCCGUCUCCUUUCAUUGCAGACCCAUCAUGGUGAAUCUCACAGAAAACUGACAACAAGCAAUAUCAACAAAAACUUUAGUCAAAUGUUGCUCUUAAGUUCCUUAACCCUCUUUUGCCACUCAAAAUGGUGAAGGUGUGUGCAGUGUCUAUGAGGAUAAAAUUAAAUUAUUCUACUUUUUUUGGUGUACAUUACAUUUUUACCCACUUUUUGACUGUAUUGUUUUUUGGGUAGUUGGGCAUUGAAUCAUGAAGAAUGUCAACUUUGUUUUUUGUUAAAGACAUUUUAUGUAGUUACACUCCUGUCGUAUCAACUAGCAUAUUGAUAAAAUGGUCACUAUGUUCUCUUACAAUGCCCUUGAGAAUACCAGAAGUCUGUUUUUUAAUUCAGUCAUUGUAGGUUUGCUAUGUUUCUGCAGGGUUCCUACUGGUUACCUCCUGCUUUCAUAUGAUGCAUUGAUGUCUCAGUCCUUGACAGAAAGCUCAAUUGGCACGUUGUCCUUCUAACUGAUAACAGCUGCUACAUUUGAAAAAUAACUCAGACUGACUCACAGCUCAACAUUCGUUUUUAAAUUAUGAACAACAUUAGGUCAUUUAUACAAAAUGAAGUGUACAUAUGUUUUAUGACGCAACAAUGUCUUUGAUAUGGUAUACAAAACAAAUCUAGAGAAAGUACUAAAAAAGUGUGAUCUACAUUAGUCGGAAAAGAUUGUAAAAUAACAAUUGUAUAGACAUAAUGAGAAUGUCAUUUGAAUAUGUACACAGGGGGGAAAUCUAAUAAAGACUGAGUUGUCAGCAAGUUUUUGGGGAUAAAAAGCUGUAUGUGUGUGUUUUGUGAAUCAGCUGAUGAAACG
rnacentral:lncRNA from 1 species